UACGUAGGGACCGAGCGUUGUCCGGAAUCAUUGGGCGUAAAGAGCGUGUAGGCGGCCAAUUAAGUCCUGCGUGAAAUCUCGGGGCUCAACCCCGAGCGGUCGUGGGAAACUGGUUGGCUAGAGUGCGGGAGAGGAGAGUGGAAUUCCUGGUGUAGCGGUGAAAUGCGCAGAUAUCAGGAAGAACACCCGUGGCGAAAGCGGCUCUCUGGAACGGUACUGACGCUGAGACGCGAAAGCGUGGGGAGCGAACAGG
rnacentral:rRNA from 1 species